rnacentral:rRNA from 1 species
GACGGAGGGUGCUAGCGUUGUUCGGAAUUAUUGGGCGUAAAGAGCUCGUAGGCGGUUUGUCGCGUCUGCCGUGAAAGUCCGGGGCUCAACUCCGGAUCUGCGGUGGGUACGGGCAGACUAGAGUGAUGUAGGGGAGACUGGAAUUCCUGGUGUAGCGGUGAAAUGCGCAGAUAUCAGGAGGAACACCGAUGGCGAAGGCAGGUCUCUGGGCAUUAACUGACGCUGAGGAGCGAAAGCAUGGGGAGCAAACAGG